UACAGAGGCCUCAAGCGUUAGGCGGAAUCACUGGGCUUAAAGCGCGUGUAGGCGGAUCGUUAAGUGUCUUGUGAAAUCCCACGGCUCAACCGUGGAACUGCUGGGCAUACUGGCGAUCUUGGGCCACUCAGGGGCAACCGGAACAAGCGGUGGAGCGGUGAAAUGCGUAGAUAUCGCUUGGAACGCCAAAGGUGAAGACAGGUUGCUGGGGGUGUGCCGACGCUGGAGACGCGAAAGCCAGGGGAGCAAACGGG
rnacentral:rRNA from 1 species